UGGGCCCCCAGCUUGGCCGGCACCUGAGGAGGCUCAGGAGCUGCAAGGGGGCCACCAUGAACCUCCCUACCAAGGGCAAUGAGAGCCCCCUGAGUCUGGCAGACCUUUGUUUUAUAUUUUGCUGCUGUGCAGCUGCAAUGUCACCAAAGAUGAUUGUUUCUCUUCACAUAAGACAAUGCAUGGCAGCCUGGCCGGUGCCCAAACCUGCAUCAGCUGCAGGAUAAUUUAGCCCUCCAGGGGAAUCCAUGGGUCAGCCUUCACAAGGCAUCACUGGCACCUCCUCCCACACUGCCAAGGUCCCAUAUGCAGACGAGGAGCAUGGCUGAGGAGGGACCACCUCACAGAAGUCUGCAAGAGCAGUGAUUUGGAAGAACAUAAAAAACCUACUUCAUCAUUUUAAGGAUAGUUUUAUAAAUAUAUUUCUUAAGAAAG